CCCUUAGAUGUUCUGGGCCGCACGCGCGCUACACUGAUGAAUGCAACGAGCUCUACCCUUGACCGAAAGGCCCGGGUAAACUUGUGAAACUUCAUCGUGAUGGGGAUAGAUUAUUGCAAUUAUUAAUCUUCAACGAGGAAUUCCUAGUAAGCGCGAGUCAUCAGCUCGCGUUGAUUACGUCCCUGCCCUUUGUACACACCGCCCGUCGCUCCUACCGAUUGAAUGGUCCGGUGAAAUCUUCGGAUUACUGACCAAGAUCCAGCAAUGGAGCUUGGUUGCGAGAAGUUGAUUAAACCUUAUUAUUUAGAGGAAGGAGAAGUCGUAACA
rnacentral:rRNA from 1 species